rnacentral:rRNA from 1 species
AACGAACGCUGGCGGCAGGCUUAGCACAUGCAAGUCGAACGCCCCGCAAGGGGAGUGGCAGACGGGUGAGUAACGCGUGGGAAUCUACCGUACCCUACGGAAUAACGCAUGGAAACGUGUGCUAAUACCGUAUACGCCCUACGGGGGAAAGAUUUAUCGGGGUAUGAUGAGCCCGCGUUGGAUUAGCUAGUUGGUGGGGUAAAGGCCUACCAAGGCGACGAUCCAUAGCUGGUCUGAGAGGAUGAUCAGCCACAUUGGGACUGAGACACGGCCCAAACUCCUACGGGAGGCAGCAGUGGGGAAUAUUGGACAAUGGGCGCAAGCCUGAUCCAGCCAUGCCGCGUGAGUGAUGAAGGCCCUAGGGUUGUAAAGCUCUUUCACCGAUGAGGAUAAUGACGGUAGUCGGAGAAGAAGCCCCGGCUAACUUCGUGCCAGCCGCCGCCGUAACAC